rnacentral:rRNA from 1 species
GUCACUGCUAUCGGGGUUCGAUUAAGCCAUGCGAGUUGAGAGGGUUUAGACCCUCAGCGGACUGCUCAGUAACACGUGGAUAACCUGCCCUAAGGUGGAGAAUAACCCCGGGAAACUGGGGAUAAUACUCCAUAGAUUAGAGAUACUGGAAUGUUCUCUAGUCGAAAGGUCCGCCGCCAUAGGAUGGGUCUGCGGCCGAUUAGGUUGUUGUUGGGGUAACGGCCCAACAAGCCUGUAAUCGGUACGGGUUGUGGGAGCAAGAGCCCGGAGAUGGAUUCUGAGACACGAAUCCAGGCCCUACGGGGCGCAGCAGGCGCGAAAACUUUACAAUGCGGGAAACCGUGAUAAGGGAACUCCGAGUGCCCGUAAAAUCGGGCUGUCCAUCGGUUUAAAUAACCGGUGAAGAAAGGGCCGGGCAAGACCGGUGCCAGCCGCCGCGGUAAUACCGGCGGCUCGAGUGGUGGCCACUAUUACUGGGCUUAAAGCGUUCGUAGCUGGUCUGUUAAGUCUCUGGGGAAAUCUACUGGCUUAACCAAUAGGCGUCUCAGGGAUACUGGCAGACUAGGGACCGGGAGAGGUGAGAGGUACUCCGGGGGUAGGAGUGAAAUCCUGUAAUCCCCGGGGGACCACCUAUGGCGAAGGCAUCUCACCAGAACGGCUCCGACAGUGAGGGACGAAAGCUGGGGGAGCGAACCGGAUUAGAUACCCGGGUAGUCCCAGCCGUAAACUAUGCGCGUUAGGUGUACUGGUGACCACGAGUCACUGGGGUGCCGAAGGGAAACCGUGAAACGUGCCGCCUGGGAAGUACGGUCGCAAGGCUGAAACUUAAAGGAAUUGGCGGGGGAGCACCACAACGGGUGGAGCCUGCGGUUUAAUUGGACUCAACGCCGGAAAUCUCACCGGAUAGGACAGACAUAUGAUAGCCGGGCCGAAGACUCUGCUUGAUGAUCUGAGAGGAGGUGCAUGGCCGUCGUCAGUUCGUACUGUGAAGCAUCCUGUUUAGUCAGG